rnacentral:rRNA from 1 species
UGGGGGAUAUUGCACAAUGGGCGAAAGCCUGAUGCAGCGACGCCGCGUGGGGGAUGAAGGCUUUCGGGUUGUAAACCUCUUUCGCUAUCGAACUAGGCCCGCUUAGGGUGGGUUGAGGGUAGGUGGAGAAGAAGCGCCGGCUAACUACGUGCCAGCAGCCGCGGUAAUACGUAGGGCGCGAGCGUUGUCCGGAAUUAUUGGGCGUAAAGGGCUUGUAGGCGGCUUGUUGCGCCUGCUGUGAAAACGCGGGGCUUAACUUCGCGCGUGCAGUGGGUACGGGCAGGCUUGAGUGUGGUAGGGGUGACUGGAAUUCCAGGUGUAGCGGUGGAAUGCGCAGAUAUCUGGAGGAACACCGAUGGCGAAGGCAGGUCACUGGGCCAUUACUGACGCUGAGGAGCGAAAGCAUGGGUAGCGAACAGG